AAGCGCGAGACGACACUCCAGAAGUGUGCAAAACUGGUGAGAAGAUUAACGUAUUCCGUCUGACUACGCCUUUCACAAUUUUUACUUUUAUGUUUUCACAGUAUAUACGUUGACACGGCGUUCGAUUCUAUGAUGCCAGUACAUGUAACAGUUCCAGACAAUAAGGAAAAAUCGUGUAGCUUAUCUACGAGGUUGUAUCAAGCAAGCAAAGGCGGCCACGCAUGAAAUAUGUCUCGCAAUGAAGAGAGGGAGAAAUUCUUAGAGAGAGUCUCGUUGCAAUAUCUCGCGCGCUGCGACUUCCCCCUUUGCAUGGCAGCUGUUUUUCGGAGGAUGAAGAAGCGGGUUGAAUAAGCGAGAAAGUGAAGCACACUCGUUGUCUCACAAAAUGAAAUUUUAAUGAGAUUCUUGCUUAA